rnacentral:RNase_P_RNA from 1 species
GAAGCUGGCUAGACAGUCGCUGCGCGCGCAAGCGCGGAGAGGAAAGUCCGGGCUCCAUAGAGCAGGAUGCCGGUUAACGACCGGAGGCCGUGAGGCCAUGGAAAGUGCCACAGAAAAUAUACCGCCGAUGGCCGGACUUCGCCACCCGCAAGGGUGGCAAAGUCUCUUCAGGAAGAUCGGGAUGCGCAAGCAGACCGUAUCCGAUUGAAGGUAACGGAUCAGGUAAGGUUGAAAUGGCGAGGUAAGAGCUCACCGCGCGCCCGGCAACGGGAGUGGCAGGGUAAACCCCAUCCGGAGCAAGACCAAAUAGGCAGGCGUUGAGGCGGCUCGUCGAGCCUGCGGGUAGGUUGCUUGAGUGUACGGGUAACCGUGCGCCUAGAGGAAUGACUGUCCACGACAGAACCCGGCUUAUCGGCCAGCUUCACCC